AAGUAAUGAAGUAAUAACUACACUUAGUUUCGACCUAAGAAUUAGGGAAUCUUCCCCUUACUUA
rnacentral:tRNA from 1 species